GGACGGUUGGUGUAAUUUGGUAGCAGGCGCAGGCAUGCGUGAUGUGGGUUCGAGUCCCAUACCGUCCA
rnacentral:tRNA from 1 species